UCGAGACCAGCCUGGCCAACAUGGAGAAACCUCAUCUCCAUUAAAAAUACAAAAAAGUUAGCCAGGUGCGGUGGUAUGCGCCGCAGUCCCAGCUACUUGGGAGGCUGAGGCAGGAGAAUCACUUGAAUCCAGGAGGUAGAGGUUGCAGUGAGCCGAGAUUCCACCACCGCACUCCAGCCUGGGCGAUGGAGCAACACUCCGUCUCAAAAAAGAAAAUUCUACACAUACGUACUUAACACAAACUUUGUUUCAUGUACAAAAUUAUUUAAAAUGUUAUAUAAAAUUAACUUCAGGCUGUGUAUGUAAAGUAUAUAGGAAAUAUAAAUGAAUUUUUCCAGGCAAGGUGGCUCACACCUGUAAUCUCAAUACUUUGGGAGGCUGAUACAGGAGGAUUGCUUGAGGCCAGGAGUUUGAGACCAGCCUGGGCAACAUAGUGAGACCCUAUCUCUACAAAAAAUUUAAAAAUUAGCUGGGCAUAAUGGUGCACACCUGUAGUCCCAGCUACUCUGGGGGCUGAGGUGGGAGGAUCUCUUGAGCCACUAUACUACAGCCUGACUGACAGAGUGAGACCCUGUCUCAAAGAAAAAUGAAAGAAAUGAAUUUCAUAUUUAGACUUGCAUAUGCAUUCCCAAGAUAUCUCAUUGUGUAUAUGCAAAUAUUCCAAAAUCUGAAAUCUGAAACAUUUCAGAUAAGGGAUGCUCAGCCUGUAUCACCAUUUACUGUCACCAUCCUUUUGUAUUGAAGAAAGAUACUUCAAAUCUCCAGAAGUAGGAGGGGUAUAAUCUCAGAACUCUGGUGUGUUUUCAGUUAAACAGUGGCAUUUCAGAAGCACCUGCCCCCAUCCCUGACAUUUUCUUCAUGUUUGCUGGGACCACUCAGAAAUCAGAAGGUGGCUUCAGCAGGCUGGGCCGGCCACCCAGGGACACAGCCAGGGACAGUGGGAGGGCUGGGCCUGAGCCUGGACUCCUGCACUGAAGGCUGGGCUGUCCCCUCCAGCCUACAGCUCAUGUGUGACUUUGGGAAAGGAGUUGGGCCCUCUGGUCUUUUUGCUCCCUGGGUAAAGUCAGCGGGGGGUGCUGCUCCGCAUUCCCUCCUGGGUUCAUAGGGGUCACGGGAGGAUCUGGAGGCUGGGCUGGCCUGCUAAAGGGACCAGCCACUUUUUGGAGUGACAUUCCAGCUGGAAGCGUCCAUCCCACCCCAGGUGUGAGGGGGGAAGCAGAGGGUGUCACAUGCUGUGACAGAGGUGGGGUCAUGCUGCCAACCCCACUCUGAACCCCAGCUCAUCGAGCGGUCCCCCCGCACCCUGCCACGCUCCAUCACCUACGUGAGCAUCAUCAUCUUCAUCAUGGGUGCCAGCAUCCACCUGGUGGGCGACUCUGUCAACCACCGCCUGCUCUUCAGUGGCUACCAGCACCACCUGUCAGUCCGUGAGAACCCCAUCAUCAAGAAUCUCAAGCCGGAGACGCUGGUGAGGCCACCUCCUGCUCCCUGCCUGUAAGCCCUAGGAGCACAGUCUGUCCUGGGAGGCUGAAGAAAUGGCCCCCACCCCUCGCCGCACCUAUCCUUCCACCAAAGGCAUUCUGCUAGAUCGACUCCUUUGAGCUGCUCUACUAUUAUGAUGAGUACCUGGGUCACUGCAUGUGGUACAUCCCCUUCUUCCUCAUCCUCUUCAUGUACUUCAGCGGCUGCUUUACUGCCUCUAAAGCUGAGAGCUUGAUGCCAGGGCCUGCCCUGCUCCUGGUGGCGCCCAGUGGCCUGUACUACUGGUACCUGGUCACCGAGGGCCAGAUCUUCAUCCUCUUCAUCUUCACCUUCUUCGCCAUGCUGGCCCUCGUCCUGCACCAGAAGCGCAAGCGCCUCUUCCUGGACAGCAACGGCCUCUUCCUCUUCUCCUCCUUCGCACUGACCCUCUUGCUUGUGGCGCUCUGGGUCGCCUGGCUGUGGAAUGACCCUGUUCUCAGGAAGAAGUACCCGGGUGUCAUCUACGUCCCUGAGCCCUGGGCU
rnacentral:sRNA from 1 species